UAUCUCUGUAGAGUCUGCAUAUCAAUAAGCGGAGGAAAAGAAACUAACUAAGGAUUCCCUCAGUAACGGCGAGUGAAGCGGGAAGAGCUCAAAUUUGAAAUCCUCAAGGGUUCUACCUUUACGAAUUGUAGUUUAAAGAAGUGUUUUCUGUUGAGGUUUUGGUAAAAGUUCUUUGGAAUAGGACAUCAUAGAGGGUGAGAAUCCCGUAUUUGACCUUUACUUUCAACUUUGUGAUACACUUUCAAAGAGUCGGAUUGUUUGGGAAUGCAGUCCAAAAUGGGUGGUAAAUUUCAUCUAAAGCUAAAUAUUGGCGAGAGACCGAUAGCGAACAAGUACCGUGAGGGAAAGAUGAAAAGAACUUUGAAAAGAGAGUUAAACAGUACGUGAAAUUGUCAAAAGGGAAGCGUUUGACACCAGUGUUGUUUUUCUGAAAAUCAAUUAAAGAACUGUUUAUGCUAAGUUGUUUAGACUUUAUCAGCUAACUGUUUAGUUUUGAGCUUUUCUUUAAUGCACUUUUCAGUUAACAAGUCAACAUCAAUUUCUUUUGCUGUAAAAAAGCUUGAGAGAAGGUGGCUUGAGAUUCGUCUUAAGUGUUUAUAGCCUCUUGCCUAUGCAGUCGGAGAGAUUGAGGUCUGCAGCGUAGAUCCUUCGGGGCUAAAUGCAUUUGUGCUAAGUUAUAGCAUUUUACAGACAACUUGUUGACUAUGAUUUGUCUUGUAGCUUACUCGCUUAUGUUAUUUUACCUACGCUUAGGAUGUUGACGAUCAGCUGAGCGCG
rnacentral:rRNA from 1 species